rnacentral:rRNA from 1 species
UACGGAAGGUGCGAGCGUUAAUCGGAAUUACUGGGCGUAAAGCGCACGUAGGUGGUUUUAUAAGUCGGAUGUGAAAGCCCCGGGCUUAACCUGGGAAUUGCAUCUGAUACUGUCUGACUAGAGUAUGCUAGAGGGAAGUGGAAUUCCAGGUGUAGCGGUGAAAUGCGUAGAUAUCGGAAGGAACACCAGUGGCGAAAGCGGCUUCCUGGUCCAGCACCGACGUUCAGGCACGAAAGCGUGGGGAGCAAACAGG